CCCAUCAAUGGUAGACAUUUGACAUAUACAGUUUGAGACCCUUUGAUAUUUCUGUAUUCGAGAGCUUCCAUAAAGCUUUAACGCACACAAAAACUAAUUAAGCUUUACGUUUGCAAACAAAAUGGCAUCCAACAAUAAGAUGGAGAGAGAGAGAGCAAGAAUCAAGAAUUGAAGCAACUGGGAUUUGUGAGGGUCGCUACGAUUCAAGUAUUGGUUUGCAUGUCUAAUCUGUACAACUACGCAAAGCAGAAUUUGGGGCUUUUGCGAUCCAUAGUUGGGAUUGUGGAGGGUAUCGCGACCACCAUCCUUUCUUUAGACAAGAAGGUAAACUGACACAAAUUUGUCAAAGAAGGCAAGAAAAAAAAAAAAAAAAAAAAAGGAAGCAAAAGUUUAAAUGGGCUUGUUGUUGUUAUGGGUGAAUAUUUGUCGUGGGAUGGAAAAAAGAAAAGAUUUUUUUAAGGGUUUUUUUGAUAACUAGCCACUUUACAAUUGCAUUUUAGAAAAAUAGCAAAUUUUUUUAUUUUUUUAAAAACUAACCAAUAUUUUACCCGUUUGGACUAAAGUACCCUUAUCUACAAAAGCUUUCCUUUCUUCUACACAGCCGUUCGUUCGUGGGGGUGGGGUUUAUACAAAACUGUUCUUGGGGUUUCUCUAAACUCUUUGCAUCUCAUCGCCUCUCACUCUCAUUUUUUUAUAUUUUCUCAGAUCUCAAACUAAAAUCAGGUAAAAAUUUUAUCUUUUUUCUUAUUAGAUGAAAGUAAGGAAAUAUGUAUUUUUUUUGUUUUUUCUCUUUCUAUUUUUUCUUGUAAGUUUUAUUAGUUUAUGGUUUUUUAAGCUUUUUAUUUGAUAUGGGUAUGCAAGAAAUUGAUUUAUGAGAUGUUCUAUGUGAUUUUAAAGAUACUUUAGGUGGCAUAUGGUUUGAAAAUGGUAGAAAUUUUGUGUAAAACUGAAAAAUCGCGAAAAACAGUAAAAAUGGAGGAAAUUUGGCGAAAAAGAUGAAUUUCCGCCAAUUUCCUCCAGUUUGUCAGUUUUCGCAAAUUUCCGCCAGUUUUCCGCCAUUUUUCCGCCAGUUUUCCAUCAGUUUUCCGCCAGUUUUCCUCCAAUUUUCCGCCAGUAGGAAAAAGCUAUAUUUGGCUCGAAAAAAAAAACAGAAUCAACUUUUUUAAUACAGUUAAUAUGUUUGUUUAAUAUUAUUCAAAAUUUUAUAUAUUUAUUGAUUUAGUUUAACGUUAUUCAUUUAAUUUUGUAGUCAAAUGGAAGAUGAUGACAUUGUAAUUGCGGUUUUAUACAAUGGAACAUUGGUACAAAAUGAUAAUGGUGAUUGGGAAUAUCGAAAUGGUAAAAAUGUAAUGGUUUCUGUCGGCAAGAGAUGCACAAAAUCAGAGUUAGAGGACUGUGGCAUAUUUACACUCAAGACCAUCGAAUUCUUACAUGCUAGAUUACCAUUGACAUUCACACAAGAUAACAUGGAGUUCUUUAGGAAGAAGUAUGCAUAUGAGGUUUACAACAAAGAACUUAGCAUAUGAGCUGUGUGGUGAUGCUUUUUUCUUUCCUUUUUUCAUGUUUAUAGAUGCAUAUUAUUUAUUAUAUUUGACUUUUAAUUGUAAAUAUAAUGGUGGCUUAUAAUGUUCAUUUAACAAAGAUAACAAUGUGGUAUUGAUGUAAUGAUAAGUAAUUGACCUUA